GAUGAAGAACGUAGCGAAAUGCGAUACGUAAUGUGAAUUGCAAAUUAAGUGAAUCAUCGAGUCUUUGAACGCACAUUGCGCCCCCUGGUAUUCCGGGGGGCAUGCCUGUCCGAGCGUCAUUGCUGCCCUCAAGCACGGCUUGUGUGUUGGGCCCCGUCCUCCGAUCCCGGGGGACGGGCCCGAAAGGCAGCGGCGGCACCGCGUCCGGUCCUCGAGCGUAUGGGGCUUUGUCACCCGCUCUGUAGGCCCGGCCGGCGCUUGCCGAUCAACCCAAAUUUUUAUCCAGGUUGACCUCGGAUCAGGUAGGGAUACCCGCUGAACUUAAGCAUAUCAAUAAGCGGAGGA
rnacentral:misc_RNA from 1 species